rnacentral:rRNA from 1 species
UACGUAGGGCGCAAGCGUUGUCCGGAAUUAUUGGGCGUAAAGAGCUCGUAGGCGGUUUGUCGCGUCUGCUGUGAAAACGCGAGGCUUAACCUCGCGCCUGCAGUGGGUACGGGCAGACUAGAGUGCGGUAGGGGGAGACUGGAAUUCCUGGUGUAGCGGUGGAAUGCGCAGAUAUCAGGAGGAACACCGGUGGCGAAGGCGGGUCUCUGGGCCGAUACUGACGCUGAGGAGCGAAAGCGUGGGGAGCGAACAGG